UCGGAGAGUUUGAUCCUGGCUCAGGAUGAACGCUGGCGGCGUGCCUAAUACAUGCAAGUCGAGCGAACUGAUUAGAAGCUUGCUUCUAUGACGUUAGCGGCGGACGGGUGAGUAACACGUGGGCAACCUGCCUGUAAGACUGGGAUAACUUCGGGAAACCGAAGCUAAUACCGGAUAGGAUCUUCUCCUUCAUGGGAGAUGAUUGAAAGAUGGUUUCGGCUAUCACUUACAGAUGGGCCCGCGGUGCAUUAGCUAGUUGGUGAGGUAACGGCUCACCAAGGCAACGAUGCAUAGCCGACCUGAGAGGGUGAUCGGCCACACUGGGACUGAGACACGGCCCAGACUCCUACGGGAGGCAGCAGUAGGGAAUCUUCCGCAAUGGACGAAAGUCUGACGGAGCAACGCCGCGUGAGUGAUGAAGGCUUUCGGGUCGUAAAACUCUGUUGUUAGGGAAGAAUAAGUACGAGAGUAACUGCUCGUACCUUGACGGUACCUAACCAGAAAGCCACGGCUAACUACGUGCCAGCAGCCGCGGUAAUACGUAGGUGGCAAGCGUUAUCCGGAAUUAUUGGGCGUAAAGCGCGCGCAGGCGGUUUCUUAAGUCUGAUGUGAAAGCCCACGGCUCAACCGUGGAGGGUCAUUGGAAACUGGGGAACUUGAGUGCAGAAGAGAAAAGCGGAAUUCCACGUGUAGCGGUGAAAUGCGU
rnacentral:rRNA from 2 species